UACGAAGGGGGCUAGCGUUGCUCGGAAUCACUUGGCGUAAAGCGCACGUAGGCGGAUUGCUAAGUCAGGGGUGAAAUCCUGGAGCUCAACUCCAGAACUGCCUUUGAUACUGGCGAUCUCGAGUCCGGGAGAGGUGAGUGGAACUGCGAGUGUAGAGGUGAAAUUCGUAGAUAUUCGCAAGAACACCAGUGGCGAAGGCGGCUCACUGGCCCGGUACUGACGCUGAGGUGCGAAAGCGUGGGGAGCAAACAGG
rnacentral:rRNA from 1 species